AUGAAAAGUGGGAUGCCAAAACGGGCCACAGCACCGAAGGCAGAUAGAUCAGUACUUGUAGUCCUUGACGUGGAGGCUCUCGGAGGCGCCCUCGCCGAGGGUGGCGUCGCCCUUGUAGGUGCCGAGGGUGGCCUCGGAGUUGGCCUUGCACCUCACCAGGAACGCCGCCCUGGCCUUCUCCUCGUUCUCCGUCUUGCCGGACCAGGCCUUGAGGGUGCUCUGCUGGAGGGCACGCCCGAAGGAGAAGGACAGGUUCCAGGGCUUCUUGGUCUGGAGCUUGUUCAUGGCGUUCAGGUUCAGGGUCGCCUCCUCCUCGCUCUGUCCACCAGAGAGGAAGACAAUGGCGGGGACGGCAGCAGGGACGGUCCUCUGGAGGGUGCGGACGGUGUACUCAGCAAUCACCUCAGGGGCCACCUUCUUGGAGUCAGAACCAGGGGUGACCAUGUUGGGCUUCAGGAGAGUGCCCUCGAGGAGGACAUGCUGGUCGUUGAGGGCCUUGUAGCAGGCAGCAAGGACGAUCUCGGUGACGUAAGCACAGCGGUCAAUGUCAUGAGGUCCAUCAACAAGGAUCUCAGGCUCCACAAUGGGCACCAGACCAUUCUCCUGGCAGAUGAUGGCAUAGCGAGCCAGACCCUGAGCGUUCUGGUCGAUGGAGAGCUGCGAUGGCUCAGUGGCGCCGAUCUUGAGGACUGCACGCCACUUGGCGAAGCGGGCACCAGCCUCAUAGUACUUGGCGCAGCGCUUGCCAAGGUCAUCAAAGCCCUGGGUGGUGGUCUCACCGUUGGUUCCAGCAAGCUCAAUGGUACCCUUGUCCACCUUGAUGCCAGGGAGGACAUUGCCCGCCUUGAGGAUGUCGACGAAGGGCUUGCCACCCUUGGUGCUCUGGUACAGGGUCUCCUCAAACAGGAUCACGCCGCUGAGGUACUGGAGGGCACCAGGGGUGCAGAAGAGGAGCUCACGGAGGGCACGACGGUUGUCCUCAACGUUCUCAACAUUGAUGCUGGCAAAGCGCUUGCCGAUGGUGCCGGUGGACUCAUCAGCAGCGAGGAUACCCUUGCCAGGGGUGCCGAUGUAGGCAGCGUUCUUGAUGAGCUCAUCUGCAAGAUAAUCAACCAAGAGUAUUACAAUCAAUUGCCAUAA
rnacentral:rRNA from 1 species